UACGUAGGGGACGAGCGUUGUCCGGAAUUAUUGGGCGUAAAGAGCGUGUAGGCGGCUCUGCAAGUCCUGCGUGAAAUCUCGAGGCUCAACCUCGAGCGGUCGUGGGAAACUGGAGGGCUAGAGUGCGGGAGAGGGAAGUGGAAUUCCAGGUGUAGCGGUGAAAUGCGCAGAUAUCUGGAAGAACACCUGUGGCGAAGGCGGCUUCCUGGAACGACACUGACGCUGAGACGCGAAAGCGUGGGGAGCAAACAGG
rnacentral:rRNA from 1 species